UACGGAGGGUGCAAGCGUUAUCCGGAUUCACUGGGUUUAAAGGGUGCGUAGGUGGGUUGAUAAGUCAGUGGUGAAAUCCCCGAGCUUAACUUGGGAACUGCCAUUGAUACUAUUGAUCUUGAAUACCGUGGAGGUCAGCGGAAUAUGGUCAUGUAGCGGUGAAAUGCUUAGAUAUGACAUAGAACACCAAUUGCGAAGGCAGCUGGCUAACGCGAAUAUUGACACUUGAUGCACGAAAGCGUGGGGAUCAA
rnacentral:rRNA from 1 species